UGAAGGAGUCCUCCACCCACUGUAGGUCCCCAUCUGGGCUCUCUGAGCUCUGCUGACCUGGCUCAUCUUGGCUGUCAAAGGACAGAAACUGGGAGGACAUCCUGCGGAAGAACUCCUCCACCUGAAAUCAGGAUUCUGCUCCACCUCCUUGGCAAGCUGAUCCACCUCCUGGUUAUGGUAGGAGAGACAUUCGGGAGUGGAAAGGUAAAGGUGGGGAGCAUCUCAAGCCAUGAUCCCAUGACCUCAGCUAUCAACAGGAAGUGAUGUAAUUCUGAGAGGGAAACAGCAUUACCAUGGAGGAGCCAAUUGGGACUUCAUGAGAUGCCUGUGUUUAUCGUCGUUGUUCUCCAUGACCUCCUUCAUGUUCUUCACACCGAACAGUGCCCUCUUCAUCUCCUCGCCCACGUAUUUCUCGCCGAUC